GCGGGCGUAACUCAGUGGUAGAGUGCUACCUUGCCAAGGUAGAUGUCGAGGGUUCAAGUCCCUUCGCCCGCU
rnacentral:tRNA from 1 species